rnacentral:rRNA from 1 species
GGGGAAUUUUGGACAAUGGGCGAAAGCCUGAUCCAGCAAUGCCGCGUGCAGGAUGAAGGCCUUCGGGUUGUAAACUGCUUUUGUACGGAACGAAAAGGCUCUGCGCUAAUACCGCGGGCUAAUGACGGUACCCGAAGAAUAAGCACCGGCUAACUACGUGCCAGCAGCCGCGGUAAUACGUAGGGUGCAAGCGUUAAUCGGAAUUACUGGGCGUAAAGCGUGCGCAGGCGGCUUUGCAAGACAGAUGUGAAAUCCCCGGGCUCAACCUGGGAACUGCAUUUGUGACUGCAUGGCUGGAGUGCGGCAGAGGGGGAUGGAAUUCCGCGUGUAGCAGUGAAAUGCGUAGAUAUGCGGAGGAACACCGAUGGCGAAGGCAAUCCCCUGGGCCUGCACUGACGCUCAUGCACGAAAGCGUGGGGAGCAAACA